rnacentral:rRNA from 1 species
UACGGGGGGAGCAAGCGUUGUUCGGAUUUACUGGGCGUAAAGGGCGCGUAGGCGGCCUCUGCAAGUCGACCGUGAAAUCUCCGGGCUUAACCCGGAAAGGUCAGCCGAUACUGCAGGGCUAGAGUGCAGAAGGGGCAACUGGAAUUCUCGGUGUAGCGGUGAAAUGCGUAGAUAUCGAGAGGAACACCUGCGGCGAAGGCGGGUUGCUGGGCUGACACUGACGCUGAAGCGCGAAAGCUAGGGGAGCGAACGGG